rnacentral:lncRNA from 1 species
UGUGGAGAGCUUUUGGGACCCGGAGCACUGGCUCCGGGAGAGGGGCCAUGAUGGGAUGCAGCUGGUAAGGAGAUAGGGCCCUGCUCAUUAAACCAGGCAAGGUCGUGCUGCCCUCAGGAGCAAGGAAGUGAUAAGAACAUGCUGCAAUUAAGAAAAUUGAGUGGUAUGUGGUAAACAAUCGGGCAUUCAUCACGGGACUGUCACGGUAUCUAGCGUUGAUGGUUACUUUCUCACGUAAAGAACUAACCAAUAAGAGAACCCAAUUUGGCAUAUGUAGUAGCUCAUUAACUAUCGUAUAAAUGCCUGCGUGUGCUUCAAUAAAGCUGAGACUUGUUGAUCAUGAAAGCAUGAGACUUGUCUCCCGCUGAUUUCCUACAGU